rnacentral:lncRNA from 10 species
GGGAGCCUCAGCUUCUCCAGCUUUAAGGAGUCAGGGGCGUGAAAAUGUCCAAGCUCUGGAGUCAGACUCCAGGAGUUUGAAUGCUGGCUCCUAUAACCUGCUGUGUGAGAUCUGGGGCCAGCGAGUGUGUCUCUCUCAGCCUCAGUUUCCCCAGCUGUGCAAUGAGGAUACCUAGUGGGUGGUGGUGAACGCUCCAUGAGUUUACGCACAAGAAAACCUUGGGACAGUGGCUGAUAGUGGCGCCAGCAAGCCAGCAUGCACCCCACCCUUUCCUUCCAAGAAAAUUGCCUCCUAAAUCUAUGAUUGGUCUCAGCUCAAACAGGCCAGGCCCGGUCCCCUGGGUCCUCUCUGUCCUCCGUCUCCUGGUUCCCUGUACCUCUCCAAAAGCCCCCACGACCAAAAGAAGUAAAGAUGUAGGGCCGGGCGCGGUGGCCUACACCUGUAUUUCCCAGCACUCUGGGAGGCUGAGGUAAGUGGAUCACCUGAGGUCACGAGAACCGAUUGAACCCCAGAGGCAGAGGUUGCAGUGAGCCGAGAUUGCGCCACUGUACUCCAGCCUGGGCGACACAGAGAGACUCAACCUCAAAAAAAAAAAAAAAAAAUGGUGGCUGGGCAAGGUGGCUUAUGCCUGUAAUCCCAGCACUCUGAGAGGCCAAGGCAGGCAGAUCACUUGAGCCCAGGAGUUCGAGACCAGCCUGGGCAACAUGGUGAAAACCCGUCUCUACAAAAAAUACAAAACUUAGCUGGGUGUGGUGGCAUGCGCCUGUAAUCCCAGCUACUCAGGAGGCUGAGGCAUGAGAAUCGCUUGAAUCCGGGAGGUGGAGGCUGCAGUGAGCCAAGAUCAUGCGACUGCACUCCAGCCUGGGUGACAGUGCAAGACUCUGUCUCAAAAAAAAAAAAAAGUUCCCACUCUGGUCCAGCCACCAUCACUGAAGGCCCGGACCAUGCAGUCACCUCCUCAUGGGACUCCCUGCCUGGGUCCUUGCUGCACCUCCACAAGGACCUGUCUUUCCCCCACAUGCAGCCACAGGGAUCCUGUUAACACCUAAGUCAUCAGAAGGCUGAGGCGGGAGGAUCGCUUGAGCCCAGGAGGUCGAGGCUAUAGUAAGCCAAGAUGGCACCACUGUACUCCAGCCUGGGCAACACAGUGAGACCCUGUCUCUAAACAGUAAUAAUAAUAACAAAUUAAAUUAAAUUAAAACCUGGCCUGGGCAUGGUGGCUCAUGCCUGUAAUUCCAGCACUUUGGGAGGCCGAGGCAGAUAGAGUACCUGAGGUCAGGAGUUGGCCAACAUGGUACCUGACCAACGUGGUGAAACCCUGUCUCUAUUUUAAAAAUAUAAAAAUUAGCUGGGCCUGGUGGCACAUG